CCUCCCCUUCCCGGUUCCCCGGCUGGUCCUCCCCCUCUCCCUCUCCUUCUCGGUUCCCCUUCUCUUCCUCCCACUCCAGCACCUGAGAGCGCCUAUUACCGACUGUCAGCACCUCCAUCCUCUCCUGCUCUCGGUGGAAGGGGCCCUGCUUCAACCCGAGAUAUUCCCGCUGGAACUUCAGCGCUAGGUUCCUGCCCACGCAACCUUUUACUCCAGAGAAGUUCUGCAACAGCAAGUGACAAAACACCAAAACUUCGGGCACAUAGCCUUUGUUUUAAAAGUAUGGGAAAAUGUUACACAAGUGUCUUGACCCCAGGCUUUCAGGCACAAAACGAGGAGGCUGGCUUAGUAGGCAAAGAAAGCCGGAGGAAGGCUGUGCCUUGGAGUCAACUCUUCAGUCUACAGACUGAGGAUGGCUGCUGGAAACUUACACCAGAACUGGGAUUUAUAUUAAAACUUAAUACAGAUGUUUUAACCAACUUUCUUGAACAAAAAGGCGUUCGAUCUCUAGGCGUAAGAGGGAGAGAGCGCCUUCUGGACCUGCUGGCCACGUUCCUGGUGCUGCAGCUCCUCCGCGCCCAGAUGGAGCAGGACGGAAUCGUCUUCAAGUCACUGAUGAGACUGGAUGAUGCUUCCGUUUCCAGGCGUAUUCCCUGGGAUUUUGAGAAAAUAAAGAAAGCAAGUGAAUGGCUAAGAAGAACUGAAGGACAGUACCCGUCAAUCUGCCAGCGGCUGGAGCUGGGCAAAGACUGGGACACGGCCACCAAACAGCUGCUGGGCAUCCAGCCCUUACCCACCACCUCCCCGCUUUACAGGCUUCUUCAGUGUAGUCAAGGCUGAAUCACAUCAAGUAUUUUAAACUUUUUUCAUGCUUCUAUGUAUCCAGUACACAGAUAGUAACAGAUAUCUAUAAUGAAAUCUAAUUAUGAUUUUAUUUAGUAUAGCAAUCCCUUUAAAAUGAAUGGGAGCCGUCUGUUGUUUUAAUGUACGAACAAGCAAUUAUCAAAUAAAAAUUCCAGUACUACAGGAUCUUUUUUUUUUUUUUUUUUUUUUUUUACUGCACCUGCAACAUCCAGAAGUUCCUAGACCAGGGAUCAAAACCGUGCCACAGCAGUGACGAUGCCAGGCCACCGAGGAACUCCCAUUACAGACGUUUUUGGGUUUGAAUGUUUUAAGGUGAUGAGAGAGACGUGUUGGCAUGGUCUUGAAAGCUUAUUUCCUUCUCCCCUCUCAGGGGUCUGGUAGAGUGCUGGCCCAGCCAGACGGACCAAGCUGCGAGGAGUUAAGGACUUUGUCCAUGGCCACAUUCCUGGCUUCAAGCCUGUUUCGGGGCUCCAGGUGUCCAGCUUUGGCCCUGGCUGAGCACACGUCCUACUGUGGACCCUUGUCUGCAGAUCCCCGGACACCUCUCAUUGCUUAGAGCAACCAGGUGCCCCAAGCAAUUCUUCCAUGGCUCUUGCUUUUGGUCUUGAAUCUAAAAAUCUCAUCACCAGGGAGCUCACGUUAUGGCUCAGCAGUUACGACUCCAUGAGGACUCGGGUUCGAUCCCUGGCCUCACUCAGUGGGUUAAAGAGUCUGGUGUUGCUGUGAGCUGCUGUGUAGGUUGCAGAUUUGCAGAUGUGGCUUGGAUCUGUCGUUGCUGUGGCUGUAGCAUAGGCCAGCGGUUACAGCUCUGAUUUGACCUCUAGCCUGGGAACUUCCAUAUGCUGCAGAUGCGACCCUCAAAAAAAUAAAAUAAGUAAACCAGUAAAUACAUAAAUCUAAAACAGUCUUGUUAUAUCUUUACUGGCCAAAUUGUUACCAACCAGGGUUCUUGGCCUUCCUUAAUCAAUAGAAAUUGAUAAGAAGCCAGACAAGAAAUGGCUUUACCAGGGCUCUGGAUGCAGCAGGGGGAGAGAAAUCAGUACCUGUUCCCUCGCUAGCCGAGAGCGCAGCUGGAUCCUUCUAUGAGGAGAGGGUCAGGCGGGUCCGGGGCUCUGGUCAGGGGGUCGCUUAGGGGGUCUGCCCACCCCUUUGGUGCCAGUGUGUGCAGGGGGCUUGCAUUGUACACUGCUUUUGCUCCUGGUUCUUCAGAAGUGGCAGUUAGUCUUUUUGUAUCUUUCCAUAAUUGGCCUUAACUGUGCAUGUACAGUUAUUUUUCGUCGCUCACGGUUUCUUUGUAUUUUGUUGCUGGAGAAAACGUUUGUCAAGGUGCAAGCACUGCCCUCAAGGGUCCAGGUCCCAGGUCCCAGCCUGUCUCAAAAUCAGUCUGCUCUUGGCCUUGGCUGCUUGUUUGCUUGACAUAAUUACAGAAGGCAAAUGAGAUACUUCUGGACCUUGUUACUCAAAAUGUAUACCAAUAAAACCAAGUUUUGCAAUAUUUAUCAAAA